rnacentral:rRNA from 1 species
UAGUAGCGGCGCAGCACUUCUUCGGAUGGAGCCGACCGUCGCUCGGGAGCGGCGCGCGACUUCAACUUACCUUGUACUGGGGGAUAGCCUUUAGAAAUGAAGAUUAAUACCUCAUAGCAUUGAGAUUUGGCAUCAAAUUUUAAUUAAAGAUUUAUCGGUAAAAGAUGGCUAUGCGUCCUAUUAGCUAGAUGGUGAGGUAACGGCUCACCAUGGCAACGAUAGGUAGGGGUCCUGAGAGGGAGAUCCCCCACACUGGUACUGAGACACGGACCAGACUCCUACGGGAGGCAGCAGUGAGGAAUAUUGGGCAAUGGAGGCAACUCUGACCCAGCCAUGCCGCGUGCAGGAAUAAGGUCCUAUGGAUUGUAAACUGCUUUUAUA